rnacentral:rRNA from 2 species
UUAAGCGACUAAGCGUACACGGUGGAUGCCCUGGCAGUCAGAGGCGAUGAAGGACGUGCUAAUCUGCGAAAAGCGUCGGUAAGGUGAUAUGAACCGUUAUAACCGGCGAUGUCCGAAUGGGGAAACCCAGUGCAAUUCGUUGCACUAUCGUUAACUGAAUACAUAGGUUAACGAGGCGAACCGGGGGAACUGAAACAUCUAAGUACCCCGAGGAAAAGAAAUCAACCGAGAUUCCCCCAGUAGCGGCGAGCGAACGGGGAGCAGCCCAGAGUCUGAAUCAGCUUGUGUGUUAGUGGAACGGUCUGGAAAGUCCGACGGUACAGGGUGAUAGUCCCGUACACCAAAAUGCACAGGUUGUGAACUCGAAGAGUAGGGCGGGACACGUGGUAUCCUGUCUGAAUAUGGGGGGACCAUCCUCCAAGGCUAAAUACUCCUGACUGACCGAUAGUGAACCAGUACCGUGAGGGAAAGGCGAAAAGAACCCCGGCGAGGGGAGUGAAAAAGAACCUGAAACCGUGUACGUACAAGCAGUGGGAGCACCUUCGGGUGUGACUGCGUACCUUUUGUAUAAUGGGUCAGCGACUUAUAUUCUGUAGCAAGGUUAACCGUAUAGGGGAGCCGCAGGGAAACCGAGUCUUAACUGGGCGUUAAGUUGCAGGGUAUAGACCCGAAACCCGGUGAUCUAGCCAUGGGCAGGUUGAAGGUUGGGUAACACUAACUGGAGGACCGAACCGACUAAUGUUGAAAAAUUAGCGGAUGACUUGUGGCUGGGGGUGAAAGGCCAAUCAAACCGGGAGAUAGCUGGUUCUCCCCGAAAGCUAUUUAGGUAGCGCCUCGUGAACUCAUCUUCGGGGGUAGAGCACUGUUUCGGCUAGGGGGUCAUCCCGACUUACCAACCCGAUGCAAACUACGAAUACCGAAGAAUGUUAUCACGGGAGACACACGGCGGGUGCUAACGUCCGUCGUGAAGAGGGAAACAACCCAGACCGCCAGCUAAGGUCCCAAAGUCAUGGUUAAGUGGGAAACGAUGUGGGAAGGCACAGACAGCCAGGAUGUUGGCUUAGAAGCAGCCAUCAUUUAAAGAAAGCGUAAUAGCUCACUGGUCGAGUCGGCCUGCGCGGAAGAUGUAACGGGGCUAAACCAUGCACCGAAGCUGCGGCAGCGACACNNNNNNNNNNNNNNNNNNNNNNNNNNCCUGUGAGGGUUGCUGGAGGUAUCAGAAGUGCGAAUGCUGACAUAAGUAACGAUAAAGCGGGUGAAAAGCCCGCUCGCCGGAAGACCAAGGGUUCCUGUCCAACGUUAAUCGGGGCAGGGUGAGUCGACCCCUAAGGCGAGGCCGAAAGGCGUAGUCGAUGGGAAACAGGUUAAUAUUCCUGUACUUGGUGUUACUGCGAAGGGGGGACGGAGAAGGCUAUGUUAGCCGGGCGACGGUUGUCCCGGUUUAAGCAUGUAGGCUGGUUAUCCAGGCAAAUCCGGAUAAUCAAGGCUGAGGUGUGAUGACGAGGCACUACGGUGCUGAAGUAACAAAUGCCCUGCUUCCAGGAAAAGCCUCUAAGCAUCAGGUAACAUCAAAUCGUACCCCAAACCGACACAGGUGGUCAGGUAGAGAAUACCAAGGCGCUUGAGAGAACUCGGGUGAAGGAACUAGGCAAAAUGGUGCCGUAACUUCGGGAGAAGGCACGCUGGUGUGUAGGUGAAGUCCCUGCGGAUGGAGCUGAGACCAGUCGAAGAUACCAGCUGGCUGCAACUGUUUAUUAAAAACACAGCACUGUGCAAACACGAAAGUGGACGUAUACGGUGUGACGCCUGCCCGGUGCCGGAAGGUUAAUUGAUGGGGUUAUCCGUAAGGAGAAGCUCUUGAUCGAAGCCCCGGUAAACGGCGGCCGUAACUAUAACGGUCCUAAGGUAGCGAAAUUCCUUGUCGGGUAAGUUCCGACCUGCACGAAUGGCGUAAUGAUGGCCAGGCUGUCUCCACCCGAGACUCAGUGAAAUUGAACUCGCUGUGAAGAUGCAGUGUACCCGCGGCAAGACGGAAAGACCCCGUGAACCUUUACUAUAGCUUGACACUGAACAUUGAGCCUUGAUGUGUAGGAUAGGUGGGAGGCUUUGAAGCGUGGACGCCAGUCUGCGUGGAGCCAACCUUGAAAUACCACCCUUUAAUGUUUGAUGUUCUAACGUGGGCCCCUGACCGGGGUUGCGGACAGUGUCUGGUGGGUAGUUUGACUGGGGCGGUCUCCUCCCAAAGCGUAACGGAGGAGCACGAAGGUUAGCUAAUCCUGGUCGGACAUCAGGAGGUUAGUGCAAUGGCAUAAGCUAGCUUGACUGCGAGCGUGACGGCGCGAGCAGGUGCGAAAGCAGGUCAUAGUGAUCCGGUGGUUCUGAAUGGAAGGGCCAUCGCUCAACGGAUAAAAGGUACUCCGGGGAUAACAGGCUGAUACCGCCCAAGAGUUCAUAUCGACGGCGGUGUUUGGCACCUCGAUGUCGGCUCAUCACAUCCUGGGGCUGAAGUAGGUCCCAAGGGUAUGGCUGUUCGCCAUUUAAAGUGGUACGCGAGCUGGGUUUAGAACGUCGUGAGACAGUUCGGUCCCUAUCUGCCGUGGGCGCUGGAGAAUUGAGGGGGGCUGCUCCUAGUACGAGAGGACCGGAGUGGACGCAUCACUGGUGUUCGGGUUGUCAUGCCAAUGGCACUGCCCGGUAGCUAAAUGCGGAAGAGAUAAGUGCUGAAAGCAUCUAAGCACGAAACUUGCCCCGAGAUGAGUUCUCCCUGAGACUUUAAGUCUCCUGAAGGAACGUUGAAGACGACGACGUUGAUAGGCCGGGUGUGUAAGCGCAGCGAUGCGUUGAGCUAACCGGUACUAAUGAACCGUGAGGCUUAACCUU